GACAGAGGAUGCAAGCGUUAUCCGGAAUGAUUGGGCGUAAAGCGUCUGUAGGUGGCUUUUUAAGUCCGCCGUCAAAUCCCAGGGCUCAACCCUGGACAGGCGGUGGAAACUACCAAGCUGGAGUACGGUAGGGGCAGAGGGAAUUUCCGGUGGAGCGGUGAAAUGCGUAGAUAUCAGGAAGAACACCCGUGGCGAAGGCGGUUCUCUGGGACGGUACUGACGCUGAGACGCGAAAGCGUGGGGAGCGAACAGG
rnacentral:rRNA from 1 species